ensembl:lncRNA
AUUCACAGUAAAACUGCUAUUAAUUGCAUUUGCACUAUUGGUUACACACUUACUCAAUCCUUGCAUAAAUGUUCGAAAAAGAGUAUUUGUGAAUAUAUUGCUUCCCGUGGGACUAAAAUUAGACACAGACUGUCUGAAAGGAUGAAGCAGGGUAUUAUUUAUUAAUUAGUGCAAAAAAUAUCUUCCCAGCUGAAUAUUUCAGAAUGGCUUAACUAUGAAGGUGAUCUAUUAUACAUCUCUCUGAACAAAAGAGCAUAAUUGUAGGCAUGUAACAGGAUGAUUUUCUCCAUAAUCCAGACAGAUCUACAGUCAAGGAUAAUUAUUCCCAUACAGUCUAAAAUGUGAUUUAUAUUUAAAUGGUGAUUUAUAUUAACAUUAACUAUAUUUUGUUUUAUUUAAAUACAGUUCUGCAUUUAAAUUGCUGUAAGAUAUUAUUCCUUGAAUAAUAAGUUAUAAAAACUGCAUGUGUAAUUAUACAGAAAUAAAAAAGUUAAGUAUAAUAUGUAAUACUCCAGGACACUAAUUAGAAUUAGAUUAUGAUCAUUUCAAAUAACACUACAACAGCUACCCUAAUGUCUCAAAAUACUAGUGUCACACGGACAGAAUUGUAGCGCGCACAAGCGGAAGGACGAAUUAUAAACAUUGUUGCUCGCACGUGUAACGACGCGGACCAAUCAAAUUCACCAGAACGGAAUCAACAACAAAGCGCCUGGGAAAACUGUCCUGAACUCACGCGGAGCGCUCGUUCAUGACAGCGGCGUUAAUAAUAAUGAUUCAUCCGGGCUACUGACACAUUACUCCAGUAUAUCAGGUCCUGGUAGUUUUACAGGAGAGGACAGUGCAGAGUUUCACAUUCACGGGGUCCUGCUGUCAUUAGUGGGGUCUUACAAGCACCUGGUGUGUGGGAGAGAGAUCAGCCAUUAUUGGAGUUUGCUGGGUCUGCGGCCUGCAGAAGCGGGUGGGUUUACCCGACGGGUGUUCAAUGCUGGAAAAUUAGACCUUACUGAAAUAAAGGGUCUAGGUUAAUGGAUCCAUGCAGAGACAGAAGCACAGAGGCGACAGGCUCUCCAUCAAAUGGCAGGAGACCUGGGCUGCAUUUACCAAGACUGGAGUGUUCAGCUUAAAUGAAUGAGUAAAGGGUUGAUCAGGAAUAUCUCUUGUUUUUAGUACAUCUUUAUGGCCAGGUCUAAGAGCAGUCGUGGGCUAGUGGUUAGAGAGUUUGACUCCUAAUCCUAAGGUUGUGGGUUUGAGUCUCGGGCCGGUGAUACCACGACUGAGGUGCCCUUGAGCAAGGCACCGAACCCGCAACUGCUCCCCAGGUGCCCCAGCAUAAAUGGCUGCCCACUGCUCCGGGUGUGUGUUCACGGUGUGUGGGUGUUCACUGCUGUGUGUGUGCACUUUGGAUGGGUUAAAUGCAGAGCACGAAUUCUCAGUAUGGGUCACCAUACUUGGCUGUAUGUCAUGUCACUUUGUUUUUGUCAUCUGACCAACAUAUUAACAUUGUUUUCCACUUGCUGCUUUUGUGUUCCAAAAAUAUUGCAUCAACAACCUAAAUUGCUUUAACAUAUUUAUCAGUAAAGGGCACAGGAAAUUCCAGACAGAAGCUAUAUACAUGCAUAUUGUGGGAACUGUUAAGUGGUGUAUGUGUUUGACUCCCAUCCAUUAGGAAAUCAUCAGUGCUGCAAACAAAAAACUUGUGCGUUUAGUGAGCAGAACACUUAGGAUCGCUCCAGAGGAACCAUCCCUGCAGCACUGUAUUAUGUUUGUUACUUUUUUUUUUUUUAGUUCACUACUGUAUUGUUUUUUAAAGAAUUCAACUUUAAUUCAACAAGUAUGCAUUCAAAUAUAAAGUUCUGUCAUGAAACUCUAGAUAAUUGAUGAUAAUUCAAUCUGAUGUAAUCACAUCAUCAUUCACACGGCACAGCUGAUUGGUUUCGUUCACAUCAGCAGCCAAUGAGCUUGCUGCUCUACAUUCAAAUACUUGGCUAGUGCUUGCUGUAGCAGUUGCAGCGUGCUUCAGAAACCUCCACCAUCCCCAGCUCCACCUGUAUAGAUCUGUUUGGGGAUAAUUUCAUGUAUGUCACAUAUAAGUGGUUAUUUCAUAUAUGUUAGAUGUGAUAUGUGAUCCUGGACCACAAAAGAUUUUCAAAUAGUUGUAUCUCGGCCAAAUGUUGUCCUAUCCUGAUGUACAAAUCUCGAUUUUGAAAAAUACCCCUAUGACUGGUUUUGUGGUCCAGGGUCACAUAUAUAUUGGAGGGCCAAAUAUGAAAAUUGAUUUUUAGGCAUCGAAACAAUAAAGGUUUAAUAAAGCUUAAAAUUAUUUUUAUU